ACGGUUCUUCAGAAACAGCUCGUCAACCACCUCGGUAGCUUGCUAGCCAACAUAGCCGAAAGAUUCAAGCUAUUUAUACGCUGUUCGGUGUAUAUUACCCACACUUCUGUCGUAUCAACUUGUUAACCUAUUUAAUUGAAUAUUACGUUAUUUUGUAUUAGUCAGCUAUAGUAGCUGGCUGGUUUAGUUAGCACUAGCCUAGUCGCUAAUGAUAGCUAGCUAGCUAACAUCCCCGAACAUGAGGUCAGUAAGCUUCUCCCCUCCUGCUAAAGAAGAGGAAGUAUGCUGGACGAAGAAAGAGGGUCUGUGGCAGAACAUUGUUGUGAAAGAGGAGGAAGAGGAGGCUGUUACAUUGAAAGAAGAAGAGAAAGACGUUUCAUUGAAAGAAAGAGGAGGAUGCAGUUUUUGUAGUGAAAGAGGAGGAGGGGGAGAUGACUGUCACACUGGAUGAAGAAGAGGAGGUUGGAGAUCUGUUUAACACCAGAGAGAUACGGGAGCCUCAACAACCUCAUGAUGCUGACGAGGCAGAGAAGACUCUCUCCACAUCAGAACACAUCAAGAAACACCAGCAGAGACCCACGGGGAAGAAAUCUAACUGCUGCUCUGACUGUGCAGGUGAUGGGUUCUGACUUCUGACUAACUAACUAAGGCCGGUGACCUGUCCAGAAGAGAUGUUACAACGAACGGAAUCGUCAAUGAAGGUCUUCCUCUUUAUAUAGCCUGAUACAGCAUGCAAUACUAUUAACUCACAAGGGGGCAUAACGGUACAUGGACCAUACUAUCCCAUUUUGGAAACGUUACAUGGACAAUACUAUCCCAUUUUGGAAACGUUACAUGUACAAUACUAUCCCAUUUUGGAAACGUUACAUGGACAAUACUAUCCCAUUUUGGAAACGUUACAUGGACAAUACUAUCCCAUUUUGGAAACGUUACAUGUACAAUACUGUCCCAUUUUGGAAACGUUACAUGGACAAUACUAUCCCAUUUUGGAAACGUUACAUGUACAAUACUAUCCCAUUUUGGAAACGUUACAUGGACAAUACUGUCCCAUUUUGGAAACGUUACAUGUCCGCUCUCUUGUGGAGGGAAAUUAAUAGCUUAGAUGGUAGCUGUAGAUGAGAUUCAAAUGCAUAAUGGUAUUAAUACAGUGUCUAGACUACCUCUUUUGUAUAAAUGCCCUUCAAAAACCAAACACAGUAUUACCACGCAGCAAAAUGUUGUGUAUAAUCUUUCAAGUCAGCCUGAUAAAAUAUUGAACAAUUUGUGUACAAAGAUAUCUUGAAAUGUGAUAUUAGGCCUGUAUGGCAGUACUGUAUUGGCUAGUGCUUUCUCCAAUAUGUUCUUCUAUUUUGCAUUAAAUUGUAUGUCGAUAACAUUUAUUUUUCAAUAUAUAUAUAUUUAAAUGCUUGUAAGGUGAUUCUUUGACACAUUUUCUCUUCCUUUGAAAUUCUUAUAGGACAGAACAUGGACACAAUGCAAUUGGGAUCAAGAAGAAGGACUGGAGACCACAGCAGCGAUCCUGCUCUUGCCCUACCUCUUCAAUGAGGACCCGAGUGGCCUUUAUGUCCGUGACACGAUUUCACCGCUCUUCACUCCUUUACUGCACAUCGGCGGAAAUCCAUUUCACCAUGAGAGUGAAAUCCCGCUGGCCUUUGAUGGGGAGAACAUCCACGCCCUCGAGGACGUCCCCAUGGGACUUGGGGCUCUGCUACGGCUGUAUUUUUUAUUUUCCCUUACAUUUCCCCAAAAUGUCAGAAAAACACUUAUGUUGUUAAGUUACUGUGUUCUGGGGAGAAGAGAAUUUGGGGUGAAGUUACCAGGGCCGGUCAUAAAGAUGGCAAACUUCCUAACAUAACUAAGUGGAUACGAUAUACACACUGGGGCGGCAGGGUAGCCUAGUGGUUAGAGCGUUGGACUAGUAACCGGAAGGUUGCAAGUUCAAAUCCCCGAGCUGACAAGGUACAAAUCUGUCGUUCUGCCCCUGAACAGGCAGUUAACCCACUGUUCCUAGGCCGUCAUUGAAAAUAAGAAUUUGUUCUUAACUGACUUGCCUAGUUAAAUAAAGGUAAAAAAAAAAAAAAAAAAAAAAGCUGAAAAAUCUGUAUUUAGCAUCAAGUCUACAAUGUUGUUAGUUUACCUAUGAUUCAUUUUUAAUGUAUGUUUUUAUUGUACAUCAUUAUUUAUAUUCUGAGGCCACAUCGCCCGUUUUCAAAGGGUAUCGUUGGUUUUUAGAGGCAGUCGCUUUUUAGCUUUUUGUCAAAGUAUUUUCUCAACUGCGAUACCAACUCCAGUCAGCAGAUGGCGAUGUGCGUCUUUCAGUUGAUCCUGCCACUGUGACGUAUAAUCUAGUGGACGGGACGCUUCUUCAACAUCAACAGCUAGUCAGACACCUUGGUAGCUUGCUAGUCAAAAUAGCCGAAAUAUUGAAGUUAUUUGGACUGUGUCGGUGUACCAUUCUAUUUGCUUUUUCUAGGACUCUCCAUAGCUACGAAGCAGCUCUCCAAACAUACUCCCAGCAGAACCCCCAAAAUAUACGUUUGGCUGGUGGCAUAAACUUCUGUUUCCCGGACAAUGAACGGAAUUCAAUGGUUCUCUAACCUCCCAGAGACCUCGGCAAAAUCAAGCCUCCCAGGAACUAUAGACCUUCCGCUGCUUUCUAAACUAUCAUCCCCUCUCAAUACCACCCUGUGAUACUCUAUGAUGGCAGAGAAGGAACAGAACCCCAAGAUAACGUUAUAUCAAAGCUUAUUAUCCACAUGUCAAUCAUCUGAUUAAGCAUAUUUCCAUACGAGGAACUAUAGACCUCUAGGAGGAACUAUAGACCUCUAGGAGGAACUAUAGACCUCUAGGAGGAACUAUAGACCUCUAGGAGGAACUAUAGACCUCUAGGAGGAACUAUAGACCUCUAGGAGGAACUAUAGACCUCUAUGUUACUAUCUAAACUUCUGAUUAAGACUCAGUCACACAACUGACAUAUCACAGUCACACCUCUCAUAUCAGUCACGUAACUCUCAUACCAGUCACACAAUGCUAUUCCCAAACAUACAUAAUCAAUUAGUUGUUUUUCAACAAUAUUUUUACCUGCAGGAAUAUUUUCACAAUGUUAUCUCAUGGUUAGUUCCUAGGAUAAUGCAACUCAUACAUUUACAUCUUUCAAUACUUCUAAAAUGGGGUGCAGGUUUAAAAUAAUUACAGGUACACCUUACUAUCUUAUACUAUAUCAUACAUGGUCUUAACUAGGAAACACAGAUUCUAGUUUUCAUCCAAUUCACACAGAUCGCUGACUGGGCCCUGUUUACACCUCCACACAGGAAUACACACUCAGAACCUCCUGACUGGGCCCUGUUUACACCUCCACACAGGAAUACACACUCAGAACCUCCUGACUGGACCCUAUUUACACCUCCACACAGGAAUACACACUCAGAGCCUACAAGGCUUUUCUAGAAACUCCACUUUGCGUGUUUCGCUUACCUCUUUCUUGUUUAAACUACGUUUGAGAUGUGGUAUCCACUCGGCUCGCUGCCUCUCAGAUCAAAGAUGGGUCCAUCUGCUCCGUUCCCUAAGUGUGGUCUCCCCUGGGAUCCCAAAUUUGAGGGAUCCCUCGUGCACGAUUUACCCAGGUCAUCAGGAGUGGUCACCAAGUCAAGAUUCACAUUCCCAUCGCCAAAUGUGGUUGUUAAUUUCUUUAAUGUCAAUUGAGGAGACAAACUUAUCACAGAAGUCAGAGUUAUUCUUAAACUAAAUCUUUAUUCGCUUAUUAAUAAGGGAGCAGGUCAAUACAACGCACACAUAUAAAGCGAAUCAAUUGAGUGCUCUACGAUAAUGAUAUCUGGUUGGCAAAUCACUCCUAGACUAUUCGUUGAGAGCCCAGAGACAAAAGUACAAAGGUAUUUUACAGCCAAGAUACACCCCUUUCAACCUACAUGACCAACAAUAGAUGUAUAGAACGGGUCACAUGGUUAAGAUUUGUAUGAAAGAUACUUAUUCUCAGCAGACAGUAUCUGAUUUAAAACAAUACUCUUUGUGUAGAGACCAGGGUCUGGCCCUGGGGUCAUCUCUCCCUGGUACCAUAUAGAACAGAAACAUUAACUCAUGCUCUGGAAUGCGGUCUCUUUAGGUUUUAUCACCCAAAAGACAUUGUAAAUCUCCUGUCAGUGUUAUCUCCCAGAGGCCCAUCCUCAGUAGAACACACAGACACAAUAGUUCUAAGAACCCUCAAUUCUGUUGCAUAAAACAACCAUUUGACGCAAUAAAUGUAUUAUAACAUAAUCUUGCAAUUUUGCUCUCACAGUGUCCAAUGAAAGUUGACUAGUAACAACUGGGACCUAAAAGACACCCACCAUGAGACCCACUAAAUCUUCCCAAGAAGAGGAAAACAAAAUUAAAACCCACAACAAACUUAAAGACAGGAAGCAAACCAAAAAGGUGGAACAACUAAAGGUGUUGACUCUCCACAUCUAUCAAGACAACUGGUGCACUGGGCCAGACACUCUUAAAUAGCACCUGGGCCAGCUCAGGUGAAACACCUUCCCACUAACGAGAUGGACAAGCCAGCACAGGUGUAACCAAUACGUGCUAACGAGCUAUACACGCUAACGUCAAACCUCAAAAUAUAAAUGGAAAAUCCAAAGCCUGUAACACCUUCCCCCUUAAGACAACAAAUACAUCCUAUAUUUAAAGCCAUUCUGAAAUAGCACCUGGGCCAGACACUCUUAAAUAGAACCUGGAGGACUGGGCCAGACACUCUUAAAUAGAACCUGGAACACUGGGCCAGACACUCUUCAAUAGAACCUGGGCCAGCUCAGGUGAAACGCCUUCCAAUUAACGAGAUGGACAAGCCAGCACAGGUGUAACACAUACUGACUAAGGAGGAGACAAUCAGUGCACCCUACAUGCUAACGAGCUAUAUGUGCUAAAGUCCAACCUCAAAAAAUAAAUGGAAAAACCAAAGCUCGUAACACUUUCCCCCUUAAGACAACAAAUACAUCCUAUAUUUAAAGCCAUCCUGAAAUAGCACCUGGGCCAGACACUCUUCAAUAGAACCUGGAGGACUGGGCCAGACACUCUUAAAUAGAACCUGGAACACUGGGCCAGACACUCGUCAAUAGAACCUGGGCCAGCUCAGGUGAAACGCCUUCCAAUUAACGAGAUGGACAAGCCAGCACAGGUGUAACACAUACUGACUAAGGAGGAGACAAUCAGUGCACCCUACAUGCUAACGAGCUAUAUGUGCUUAAGUCCAACCUCAAAACAUAAAUGGAAAAACCAAAGCUCGUAACACUUUCCCCCUUAAGACAACAAAAAAACUCAGCAAAAAAAGAAACGUCCUCUCACUGUCAACUGCGUUUACUUUCAGCAAACUUAACAUGUGUACGAACAUAACAAGAUUCAACAACUGAGAGACAAACUGAACAAGUUCCACAGACAUGUGAUUAACAGAAAUUGAAUAAUGUGUCCAUGAACAAAGGGAGGUCAAAAUCAAAAGUCACAGUCAGUAUCUGGUGUGGCCACCAGCUGCAUUAGGAAUUGCAGUGCAUCUCCUCCUCAUGGACUGCACCAGAUUUGCCAGUUCUUGCUGUGUGAUGUUACCCCACUCUUCCAGCAAGUUCCUUGACAUUUUCUGGGGGAAAUGGCCCUAGCCCUCACCCCCUGAUUCAACAGGUCCCAGAUGUGCUCAAUUGCUCAAUGGGAUUGAGAUCCGGGCUCUUCGCUGGGCAUGGCAGAACACAUCCCUGUCUUGCAGAAAAUCACACACAGAACGAGCAGUGUGGCUGGUGGCAUUGUCAUGCUGGAGGGUCAUGGCAGGAUGAGCCUGCAGGAAGGGUACCACAUGAGGAAGGAGGAUGUCUUCCCUGCAAUGACAACAAGCUCAGUCCGAUGAUGCUGUGACACACCGCCAAAGACCAUGACGGACCCUCCUCCUCCAAAUCAAUCCCGCUCCAGAGUACAGGCCUCGGUGUAAUGCUCAUUCCUUCGAUGAUAAACGCGAAUCCGACCAUCACCCCUGGUGAGACAAACCACGACCCGUCAGUGAAGAGCACUUUUUGCCAGUCCUGUCUGGUCCAGCGACCGUGGAUUUGUGCCCAUAGGCGACGUUGUUACCGGUGAUGUCUGGUGAGGACCUGCCUUACAACAGGCCUACAAGCCCUCAGUCCAGCCUCUCUCAGCCUAUUGCGGACAGUCUGGACUGCUACUGCGAGGACGAUCAGCUGUCCGCCCUGUCUCCCUGUAGCUCCCUGUCUCACAGUACGGACAUUGCAAUUUAUUGCCCUGGCCCCAUCUGCAGUCCUCAUGCCUCCUUGCAGCAUGCCUAAGGCACGUUCAUACAGAUGAGCAGGGACCCCGCGCAUCUUUCUUUUGGUGUUUUUCAGACUCAGUAGAAAGGCCGCUCCUUAGUUGCCUACCGUCUCUAAGCUGUUAGUGUCUUAAUUAAGGACCGUUCCACAGGUGCAUGUUCAUUAAUUGUUUAUGGUUCAUUGAACAAGCAUGGGAAACAGUGUUUAAACCCUUUACAAUGAACAUCAAUUGAACAAACAUUUAGGGUUCCACAUUGUGACAUAAUAAAAAUGAUUAAAAACAUAGUGACAUUACAUUGACAUCAUGAAACAACUCCUUCAACUAUGUAUUUUCUGAUGUUUAAUCAGAUAUCUUUUAUCUGAGAAUCUCUUGUCACAUUGAUUACAGCUAUGAGGCUUCUCUCCUGUGUGUGUUCUCUGGUGUGAUACCAGGCUGUUAAGCCAAUUAAAACUCUUCCCACAUUGACUACA